GAUGAACGCUGGCGGCGUGCCUAAUACAUGCAAGUCGAGCGAACAGAUGAGGAGCUUGCUCCUCUGACGUUAGCGGCGGACGGGUGAGUAACACGUGGAUAACCUACCUAUAAGACUGGGAUAACUUCGGGAAACCGGAGCUAAUACCGGAUAAUAUAUUGAACCGCAUGGUUCAAUAGUGAAAGACGGUUUUGCUGUCACUUAUAGAUGGAUCCGCGCCGCAUUAGCUAGUUGGUAAGGUAACGGCUUACCAAGGCAACGAUGCGUAGCCGACCUGAGAGGGUGAGCAGCCACCCUGGAACUGGAACACGGUCCAGACUCCUACGGGAGGCGGCAGUAGGGAAUCUUCCGCAAAGGGCGAAAGCCUUACGGAGCAACGCCGCGUGAGUGAUGAAGGUCUUCGGAUCGUAAAACUCUGUUAUUAGGGAAGAACAAAUGUGUAAGUAACUAUGCACGUCUUGACGGUACCUAAUCAGAAAGCCACGGCUAACUACGUG
rnacentral:rRNA from 1 species